ensembl:misc_RNA
GAAACAUUUUAGAGUGAAGCCUAAUGUUUACCCAUGAGCUGCAAACAGUAGAGAUAGCUGCAGUGUGAGUUUCCCCACACUGUCCUGUUAAUGACCUCAACUCUGACCUUGCAAGUCCUUCUGGGGGACAUGGGGAAAUUUAGUCCAGACCAUUUAUGGCCAUUUCCU